GCCUUGGUUCCUCAGAUUAUUCAAAACUAAUCUCAGCAAUCACAGUAUAAAGUGGUCAUGUUCUUUUAUGUUUCCACAGACCAACAUAAGGUUUCACUUUCUAUGAGUGGUAAACUGACGGAUCUGGUAGAAACCCUUCACAAGUCUGUCUGUGAUUCUGCUCCUGUAAGUUUCUAUGCCACGUACUAUUUGCAGGUGUUUCUGUUGAGGAUAAAGGAUUAGGGUUCAGGCCAAAGUUAGAAUUCAGAGGAGGAGAUUUAUAAGCAUUUAAGCCGUGUGUGUUUGUGUCUGUGUAGGAGGUGCAGCCAGAUGCAGACCUGAUUUUGGAUAUUGUGUUGUUCCUGUGGGGUAAGAUGAAAGCGGUGAUACAGAGAGAUCCUCUGCAAAAUCAUGACAAGUGGUUGUGGUGUCUUUAUGUGUUGUAUGAGGUGGCCCUCGCCUGUGACCUGGCAGCUGUUGACUGUAUCAUGAUAGCAGAGAUGAGCCACACAUUGGGCAUGCUGCUUGAGAAUGCAGCUGAAUAUUUUCUUGAAACUUCAACGUCAGGUGAGAGGUUAUUUUCUGCCACUUGCCCUGUUACUGUCUGCUGGAGAUUUAAAGUUAUUGUUGUUUGUACUGUAUCUAUUUGAUCUUGCACUGUCACAAACACACGCAUUCGCACACAUGCACUACAGACGCAAACCAAAGCUUUGAUAAUAUUUUUAUUCUCAUGUCUUAUCUCCAGGAGUUUGCGAAAGAGACUGUGAUGAUGCAAAACCAAACUCUUUCUCUAUUCUUGAGGUAUGUAAAUAGACUGGUUGGGCAUACCAUCAAAAUGUGAACAAAUGACAUCAUACUGCAUGGUGCUAUUGGGCCGUGUCCUGUCUCUUGUUUACUGAAAGUAUGAAGUGAACUAUGUAUAUGUGUGUUUGUGUUUGCAGAGUUCAAGCACAGAGCUGCUUCAGAAAGUGUGUGAGGUGGUAAAGAGGGGUCUCGAGGCUUUGGCAAGGGGUGUGGCUACGCUGGCCCCCCAGGACUGCUCAGCUUUCACUGACUUUGCGUUCAUACAGGUACACAGUCAUCUUGUCCCACACUCAUUUCUAGCAUUUUUGUAAAUAUUCUUUCUCACAUUUACUGAGUUUAUUUACUAAAUCUUGUAUGGGCAUGGAGUUUUUUUUAAUUGCAUGUGUUCUUCUUCUGAUAGAAAUUUAGUCCCCUCCAGUCAUCGGCUUUUUCCACAACUUCUUCAACAUCAUCAAAACACAGAAAUGAAGACGAUAAAAUAAAUCUGAAAAAAGGAGAGGUGGAAACUCAGAAAGAAUCUGACUUAAAAGGCUGUCAACAAACUGAAGCCACAUGGAUGUAUCUUCUGAUCAAAGAUCUCCACCUAGAGUUGGACAUUAUCCUCCACAGGGCUUCCCUCAAAUUGCUGCAGCUAAAUGCAGGUCAGAGUUGCUCUGGUGGUGGUUUUAUUCAUCAGUGAUUUUGGACAAGUAGUUCAAGCUCUG
rnacentral:lncRNA from 1 species